rnacentral:rRNA from 1 species
AUGGGCCUCGGCACCGUUGCAGCGAUAUGGUCUUAUUUGUGUCAAGGCUAUCAGCCUUCUGGUGAUGCUCUCUACUUAUCUGUGGUCCGUCAGGAGCAUGCUCUUCAGCAGGGUGACUCUCCUAUUGAUGAGUUCUACACACAGAGUUAUGCCAUCUGGCGUCAGUUUGACUCUCUUUGGAUAGUUGUGUGCGGAACUUGCCAUUGCUGCCAGACUAUGUGAUCUGACCUGGAGUUUCAACGUGUCAAUGAGUUCUUAUCACGCCUCUGUUCUGGGUUUGAGCCUCGGCGUGCUCACUUGCAUGCUCGUGAUCAUGUUCCUAUCUCGGAGGUACUUGCUGAGCUUCGUGCUAAGGAGACCCGCCUUCGCUCUGCUGGGUUGCUUGCGGUUCCUUCUGUGUUGGCUAUCCAAGCUCCUGUGUCGUCUGCUCGUCUCACUACUCCACCGCUCCUGCCCACACCUUCAGGGGGUGGGACGCCCUUCAAGGGUCGGUCGCGCCGUGACACCUUCUGUGACUACUGCUCCAGGCCAGGUCACCCAGAGUCUGAUUGUCGCCAGAAGCAGCGAAACCAGAGGCGCUCCUCUUCCAGUGGGACUCCUGUGUCGUCAUCGACUCCGUCACUCACUGACCAAGACAUUGUGCGGCUCAAGCGCCUUCUGGCUUCCUCCGGUUCUUCAUCGACGGGUUCAGCUGCUGCUAUGACUGCUUUCACUGAAAGUGCAUUAUAUCGACUAGAGGGGGGGGGUGAAUAG